rnacentral:rRNA from 1 species
UGUGCCAGCAGCCGCGGUAACUCCAGCUCCAAUAGCGUAUAUUAAAGUUGUUGCGGUUAAAAAGCUCGUAGUUGGAUUUCUGUCUUCGGCCGGGCGGUGCCGCCUGAUAAUCAAGGGCGCGCACUGCUUUGGGAGCGUCGGUGUCAAAGCCGCGCUCUUUUAACGGUCGGACAAUACCACCGGAGUGGCGGACGGAGGGGUGUCGAGCUCUCGGGCUUUUCGCUCCUCUCCCGCCCGUAAUCGUCCGAGGUGCUCUUAACCGAGUGUCUCGGGCGGCCGGUAACGUUUACUUUGAACAAAUUAGAGUGCUCAAAGCAGGUGCUUAUCGCCUGAAUAUCACAGCAUGGAAUGAUGGAAUAGGACCUCGGUCUUAUUUUGUUGGUUUUCUCUAGACCCGAGGUAAUGGUUAAUAGAGACAGACGGGGGCAUUCGUACUGCGGCGCUAGAGGUGAAAUUCUUGGACCGCCGCAAGACGAACAACUGCGAAAGCAUUUGCCAAGAAUGUUUUCAUUAAUCAAGAACGAAAGUUAGAGGUUCGAAGGCGAUCAGAUACCGCCCUAGUUCUAACCAUAAACGAUGCCAACCAGCGAUCCGCCGAAGUUACUCCCAUGACUCGGCGGGCAGCUUCCGGGAAACCAAAGUCUUUGGGUUCCGGGGGAAGUAUGGUUGCAAAGCUGAAACUUAAAGGAAUUGACGGAAGGGCACCACCAGGAGUGGAGCCUGCGGCUUAAUUUGACUCAACACGGGAAACCUCACCAGGCCCGGACACUGGAAGGAUUGACAGAUUGAGAGCUCUUUCUUGAUUCGGUGGGUGGUGGUGCAUGGCCGUUCUUAGUUGGUGGAGCGAUUUGUCUGGUUAAUUCCGAUAACGAACGAGACUCUAGCCUGCUAAAUAGGUGGCGGGUUUUAUCAUUGAAAAAUUUUGGGUUCGAAGUUCGCCGGGAAUCUGGCUGGCUUCGCCCGGGCGUCCCGGCUUCGUAUUCGGCGGGUUUCGGCUCGUCGGGUGCGGGGUUGAAGGCGUUCGAGUGUUGUCGGUCCCCCGGCGGUCGGCUUCGUUCUCGCGUCCGUCACAACUCUUCUUAGAGGGACAAGCGGCGUCCAGCCGCGUGACAGUGAGCAAUAACAGGUCUGU